CAUUAAGAAUCACCGAAGUCAAGCAUCAUUGGGCGCGGCCAGUACUUGGGUGGGUGACCACCUGGGAACACCGCAUGCCGUU